rnacentral:rRNA from 1 species
GAUGAACGCUGGCGGCGUGCCUAAUACAUGCAAGUCGAGCGAACAGACGAGGAGCUUGCUCCUCUGACGUUAGCGGCGGACGGGUGAGUAACACGUGGAUAACCUACCUAUAAGACUGGGAUAACUUCGGGAAACCGGAGCUAAUACCGGAUAAUAUAUUGAACCGCAUGGUUCAAUAGUGAAAGACGGUUUUGCUGUCACUUAUAGAUGGAUCCGCGCCGCAUUAGCUAGUUGGUAAGGUAACGGCUUACCAAGGCAACGAUGCGUAGCCGACCUGAGAGGGUGAUCGGCCACAGUGGAACUGAACCGCGCUCCAGACUACGACGGGAGGGCGCAGGAGGGAAUCUUCCGCAGUGGGGGAAGUUUGGACGGAGCAGCGCCGGGUGAGUGAUGAAGGUUUUGGGAUCGAAAAACUUUUUUAUGGGGGAAAAAAAAAUGUAAAAGUAACUAUGCCCGUCUUGACGGUACCUAAUAAAAAAGCCACGGCUAACUCCGUG